rnacentral:rRNA from 1 species
UGGGGAAUAUUGGACAAUGGGGGCAACCCUGACCCAGCAACGCCGCGUGAAGGAUGAAGUAUUUCGGUAUGUAAACUUCGAAAGAAUAGGAAGAAUAAAUGACGGUACUAUUUAUAAAGUCCGGCUAACUACGUGCCAGCAGCCGCGGUAAUACGUAGGGACCAAGCGUUGUUCGGAUUUACUGGGCGUAAAGGGCGCGUAGGCGGCAAUUCAAGUCAUCUGUGAAAUCUCCGGGCUUAACUCGGAACGGUCAGAUGAUACUGCUUUGCUAGAGUGCAGAAGGGGCAAUCGGAAUUCUUGGUGUAGCGGUGAAAUGCGUAGAUAUCAAGAGGAACACCUGAGGUGAAGACGGGUUGCUGGGCUGACACUGACGCUGAGGCGCGAAAGCCAGGGGAGCAAACGGGAUUAGAUACCCUCGUAGUCCCUGAGCGGGCUGGCAAGGCGCAU